rnacentral:rRNA from 1 species
UACGUAGGGGGCGAGCGUUGUCCGGAUUUAUUGGGCGUAAAGAGCGUGUAGGCGGUUUGUCGCGUCUGCCGUGAAAGUCCGGGGCUCAACUCCGGAUCUGCGGUGGGUACGGGCAGACUAGAGUGAUGUAGGGGAGACUGGAAUUCCUGGUGUAGCGGUGAAAUGCGCAGAUAUCAGGAGGAACACCGAUGGCGAAGGCAGGUCUCUGGGCAUUAACUGACGCUGAGAAGCGAAAGCAUGGGGAGCGAACAGG